rnacentral:snoRNA from 1 species
AUCCUUUGGUUCAUGAGCAUCACAUUCAUGAGUGGGUGUUCACACUAUUGUAUGAGAUGUGCCUCCCUCUAAACCUUGUUACUGCUUUGUCAUAUUACCCAUCGGAUG